rnacentral:lncRNA from 1 species
UUUCAGGACACUGGCAUUUAUUUUUGACGUUUAUGAGAUGAGAAAUGGUCACAGAAAACUAGAUGACUUUUCUUCACAAACAUACUGAAAACAAACAAGGAGCAUCAUUCCCACCAAGUGCUGAAGCAGCAUAUACUUUAAUGCCUUAUUUUGGUCGAGCCAAUAUUUUGGUCAAGUGAUAAUGGGUGAGCUCCUAGAAAUGGAAUUAUUGGAUCUAA